rnacentral:misc_RNA from 1 species
GAUGAAGAACGCAGCGAAAUGCGAUACGUAAUGUGAAUUGCAAAUUCAGUGAAUCAUCGAGUCUUUGAACGCACAUUGCGCCCCCUGGUAUUCCGGGGGGCAUGCCUGUCCGAGCGUCAUUACUGCCCUCAAGCCCGGCUUGUGUGUUGGGCCCCGUCCUCCGAUCCCGGGGGACGGGCCCGAAAGGCAGCGGCGGCACCGCGUCCGGUCCUCGAGCGUAUGGGGCUUUGUCACCCGCUCUGUAGGCCCGGCCGGCGCUUGCCGAUCAACCCCAAUUUUUUAUAGGUUGACCUCGGAUCAGGUAGGGAUACCCGCUGAACCUAAGCAUAUCAAUAAGCGGAGGA